ACCGUGCAAAGGUAGCAUAAUCACUUGCCUAUUAAUUGUAGGCUAGAAUGAAGGGACAAACGAGAAUACACCUGUCUCCUUUAAGCCCUUAAAAAUUUAUCUUUAAGUGAAGAAGCUUAAAUUCAUAUGCAGGACAAGAAGACCCUAUAGAGCUUUACCUAAAAUCUACAUAAAUAGUAGCUAGCGGUUCGGUUGGGGCGACCGGGGGACAUUCAUCACCCCCCAAACUAAAAGAUAUACCUAUCCCACCAAAGAUCCUUACUCAAGAUCAAAGAAUCAAGCUACCUUAGGGAUAACAGGCUAAUCCUCUUAGAGAGCCCUUAUCGACAAGAGGGGUU
rnacentral:rRNA from 1 species